GACGAACGCUGGCGGCGUGCCUAAUACAUGCAAGUAGAACGCUGAAGAGAGGAGCUUGCUCUUCUUGGAUGAGUUGCGAACGGGUGAGUAACGCGUAGGUAACCUGCCUGGUAGCGGGGGAUAACUAUUGGAAACGAUAGCUAAUACCGCAUGAAAUGGAUUAUCGCAUGAUAAUCCAUUGAAAGGUGCAAAUGCAUCACUACCAGAUGGACCUGCGUUGUAUUAGCUAGUUGGUGGGGUAACGGCUCACCAAGGCGACGAUACAUAGCCGACCUGAGAGGGUGAUCGGCCACACUGGGACUGAGACACGGCCCAGACUCCUACGGGAGGCAGCAGUAGGGAAUCUUCGGCAAUGGACGGAAGUCUGACCGAGCAACGCCGCGUGAGUGAAGAAGGUUUUCGGAUCGUAAAGCUCUGUUGUAAGAGAAGAACGAGUGUGAGAGUGGAAAGUUCACACUGUGACGGUAUCUUACCAGAAAGGGACGGCUAACUACGUG
rnacentral:rRNA from 1 species